UUGAACGUGAAUCACUGUAGAGGGUUGAGUAAGGAGAUUAAGUGACGCAGACGUAUCUGGUCUGAUUCGUGUGGCGGCCUUGGGAGAGAGACGCGACGCUGUUCCUCACGUCGGUUGUCCCGCGGCGGCUAUGUCGCACGUGCGGCCCCCAACCCCACCACCAUCGCUCCAUCGCCACUUUUGCGCCGCUUAUAUUAAAUGCAUGUACACAUCACCCACCUGCUUAAAAGUAGAGCCUACUUGCUUCUACUUUAAACAGUGUCGGCACCAAGUCCAGGGCAUACUGGCAAAAUGGUAAUGGCCCUGUGUUUUUUCAUUUUACUAGCUACAUAUUAUUUUCACUCGUGUCCAACGUUAUCAAUUGAGUCGUCUACAUGUGUUCUCGGUGUUUGUCUGCUGCGCAGGUGUUUGGAACCUUCAUUCGGUUAUAAUUCAUAUCCACCCUCCACACGCAAUCUCCCACCGCCGUCUCUACCAACCAUCAUCCUCUGUUUUUAUAGCAAGACCCUCUCCCUGCAGCUUCUCACUUGGUGAUAUCCUCUCUCCAGAUGAGGAAAGGCACUUUCUGCUUCAAUAUUGGACCCCCGUGGCCUAUAUGUCUCCCCCAUGCUGCUGCUGUCUCUA
rnacentral:lncRNA from 1 species